CUGCUCCACUGUGCUCUUCAGCCAUGAGGUGCUGCCUCAGAACAAGCCCAAGAUCCAAAUCCAUCAAGAAAUGAAACAUCCAAGAGGAAGCUCAGAAAAAAUCUACAGAAUACCCAUAAACAUGUAUACUUGAAUUGGAAAAGACUGAAAACAUAAGAGAACACAUUGAAAUCAGCAUAUAUGAAUACUCGUAAGAUUCACUUUAUGUGAAAUUUUUCUAUCAGGAGGAACAGUCAAGAAAGCUAUAGAAUUUUAAUGCCAUUUGCUAAUAUGAAAAUAGAAGCUGAAGGACAGAAGCCUUUCUGGGAGCCAAGUACCGGUGGAGAUAAAAGGCAAUGGAUAAGUUAAUCUGCCAGAGGAAAUUUCAAAGCAUCUCAAUGUUCAGGUUUGAGACAACAACGACCUCAAGUGUCAACUAGAUACUGACAAACCGCAAGAACCACUCACUGACUACCUUUAACCAGAGCAAAGAUGUCCAAGAUUUUACUGAAGACUCUCAGGAUACCCAUGUAUUGAUCUGCAGUAAUUCAGACCAGUAAUUUGUGCUAGAUGUAGGCAGUCAUGCAAGAGAUAAAGCAUACCACAGGACUAAAUGGCAUCUCAUUUCGGUCCAUCCCCUCUGAAGAUUAUACCCUCUAAAGCUGGCCUCCCACCACAUAUACAGGCCUCAUGAUCCUCCUGGACCAAGCCAGAGCCUCUCAGCAGAUCCCAGGAGAUCCUUGUUGAACUCUGAUCCUCUCCAAGCUUGUCACACAAAGCUGUCUCUCACCCACUCCCCCUGUAGUGUAACACUUCAGUCCUGGACCCAGACUCUCUCUCUGGGUGUUGGUCUCAUCUUCAGUCAUGUGAUUGUCACCUCUGUUGCCUCUGCACCUCUUGUAGGACUGGUGUCAGGGCCAGGGGGUGGGCAGCAGGGCCUCUCCUACAUGAGGCUUCAGUGUCUGCAGUGGGAGUGGGCCAACAGCAUUUUAUGCUACAGUUAGAAUAUACAAAAUAUAGUGUAUUUAAAAUGCAACAAUGAAAAAACAAAGAGCCAAGCUUAAAAAUGAGCAAUGGAAGGAAACUGACAUUUCUCCAAAGAUGUAGAAAUACCCUGUACAAGAAAAGAUUUUCAAAAUUAUUAAUCACUAAGAAAAUGCAAAUCCAAACUACAAUACUAUAAAAUUAUAUACCCAUUAGGAUAGCUAUCAUAAAAACAACCUCAGUGAAAUAAGUAACAUUGGCUAGAGCUAAAAUAUUCUCACAGCACUUAUAUUCUGUUUUUCUGGAUCUGGUAAAUAUUAAACACAUCUAGAAGCAAUAUUGGCAAUGGCCUUAUGAUCCUUCUCAAAAUCAGAUAAAAACUCACCUUUGGUGUUUGGCAUUCCAGCCACUCUUCUGAAUACUCAUUAUUUUGUUGUUCUAGGAUAGCUGUCCUUAUCAUCCCCCGCAUAGGAAAACAGUUAACUGUAGAUUGAAAUUUUUCAAAGAUCUCUGAUAAAUAGCCUGUUUUGUACUAAAAGUUGAGUUGCAAAAUACUGAUGGUUGUACUUACAAAGAAAGAAAAUAAUUUAAAUGAAUCACAGAACAAUCUUCACAGAAAAAACUAAAUUCCCCUUUUCCCAAAAUUAAUGUUAUCUCCUAGCUA